AAAAACCUUCUAGAAACAGCAGUUCAUGGCAGUUUCACACUCUCUCUCCUCUCAAUCUGCAGUUGGCGAUGGUUUUACAAGAUCCUUCAUAAUCGCGCACGUUUGCCUCACAAUCGCACCCACGUUUACCGCUUUCUUCGCCCCAACCACCAUAGGCUAUCCAUUAUAAAUCCUCUACCACCAUCACCAUUGAACGAAUCACCCCACUACGUUGUGUUUGGAGUAUUUACGACAGGUAAACCACCAAUUCAACUGCCCACUCUCCCCUAAUUUUAGGGUUUGAAGAGGUUAAAUAUAGAAUGAUGAGCGCAAGAAGGAAAUCUGAAGUGGAGUUCUCCAUGACGACGGUUCCCCAUGCUCCUCCUGAAAUUCAAUGAUUCUACCUCUUCAUCCACUCAAAUUCACCAAUUUUCCACAUGGGUUCUCUCAAACCCACUUCAAUCUGUGAGCAAAUUCACUCGAUUGAUGGUGUAUCACCAUGGCUGUUGAUAAUUCAUCUUCUUCGCCUAGCUUCCGUGAGCUUGAUGAUGUGUUUUUGCAGUCUCAAGCAAGAAUAUGGCUUGGAGAAGUGUUGCGCACAAGAUUCGAUGAGCAAAUAAGCAUAGGUGACCUACUUUCUGAUGGGGAGAUGUUGUAGUCCUCUCUAUGUUUAAUGUGAUGUUGGUGAUAUAUGCUUUUCAAAUGUCAGCAUACCGUUUUCAAACCGCUGCCUGAUGCUCUUUGAAUCCUAAACCGUCAGCACUAGGAGGCGUGAUUGUCACCUUCAGGAAGCUUUCACCAUCACCACUAAGUGUCGCUCAAUGGCCACUACACCCGAGAAUCCUAUCUGUUCAGUUCUCGAUACCUGAUUAUGUGCGUGUUUCCAAAGAUUGUAGACACCUCCUUUCUCAUAUCUUUGUUGCUAACCCAUCCAAGGUACCCUUUCUAUCUAAAUAUAGAUGGCAUGACAUGUCGCAUUGUUGAGCAUGUCCUGCUUAUGUGCGUGUUUCCAAAGAUUGUAGACACCUCCUUUCUUGGUUUGGUAUACGCUUUUCUAUGUCUGUAUGUUAUUUGUUUUUGUUGAGUUAUUGCACUGGUAAUACUUAUUAAAAUGAAAGAAGUGGCCUGAACUUGAGAAGUCGUUUUUUUUGCUGCAUUACAUUAGUUAGCUGUAUGGUUUUUUUCGUUUCAGUUUUGGUUUGGGUUUUUGCCAUGUUUUAAUGGAUCAGAUUAUAAAGGGGACAUGUUAUUGAUGAUCAAACUGGCCAUAUGGGGGGUUGAGAUGUGAUUUUAAUUUGAACUAUGUUGAUUUUGGCUAUCUAGAAGAGAGUAAUGAAUUGUUAGUCUAUAAAUUGUUGUUUGCUUUCACUUACAUGGCUACACAUUGAUGCAUCGAAUCUACUUGAUCAGUAGGAAAGCCAAAAGCCUGUUGUUAAAGCCCUUCUUUAGUUUUUAUUAGUUUGGGCUAUAAAGUUCCUCUUUAUGCUUUUAAAAAAUUCUGAAUAAAUUUAUUCUACAGUGGUUGAGUAAUGCUAUAACAACCAAUUUUUGUAGACAUUCUAUUGACUUGGAACACCUUUUAUGCCAAUUUGCGUAUUUCUUUUUACAAAUACAUACCUUUUAAUUAUAUGAUAGCUUUAAAUGUAAGAAUAUUAGUUAAAGAAGUUUUAUAUAUAUAUAUAUAUAUAUAUAUAUUGUUUUGUUACAAGGUCAUUGGUCGUUCCCACGAGAUAUGCUUAUGCAAGGAUAUGCAUACAUCUUAACCCAUCCCGGAACGCCUGUGAUAUUUUACGACCAUUUUUAUGAUUUUGGGCUCCGUGAUGUUAUAACGAGAUUAAUCGAGGCAAGAAAACGGGAUGGGAUCCCUCCCAUACAGCCUAUUAUUUUAUCAUGCUCUAUCACACAUAUUAUAAGUACUGGCAGGUUCCUUGUGGUGAAUUGCUAAUGAAAUAGACACGACAAUGAAAGGAGAAGAUUGUUACUCUCCUGUACUUUGGUUUCACGGGUUACAAGGAGCAAUGUACACCGAGACUCUUUGCUUCACCAAAUAUUUAGUUCCAAUAAGUAUGCUCUUUUGUUUUGUUCAUUUUAAUGUUUGGUUAUUUGUUUAGUGACAAUAUAAAUACGUUUAUCAUUUUCUUUAUUAUAUUCUAUGGGUAUUUAUGUUAUUAUGCCGUUAA